GUACACGCUGUGACUAGCAUAUCAAUAAGCGGAGGAAAAGAAACUAACAAGGAUUCCCCUAGUAACGGCGAGUGAAGCGGGAAGAGCUCAAAUUUGAAAUCUUAAAGGGUUUCCCUUUACGAAUUGUAGUUUAAAGAAGUGUUUUCUGUUGAGGUUUUGGUAAAAGUUCUUUGGAAUAGGACAUCAUAGAGGGUGAGAAUCCCGUAUUUGACCUUUACUUUCAACUUUGUGAUACAUCUUUCAAAGAGUCGGAUUGUUUGGGAAUGCAGUCCAAAAUGGGUGGUAAAUUUCAUCUAAAGCUAAAUAUUGGCGGGAGACCGAUAGCGAACAAGUACCGUGAGGGAAAGAUGAAAAGAACUUUGAAAAGAGAGUUAAACAGUACGUGAAAUUGUCAAAAGGGAAGCGUUUGACACCAGUGUUGUUUUUCUGAAAAUCAAUUAAAGAACUGUUUAUGCUAAGUUGUUUAGACUUUAUCAGCUAACUGUUUAGUUUUGAGCUUUUCUUUAAUGCACUUUUCAGUUAACAAGUCAACAUCAAUUUCUUUUGCUGUAAAAAAGCUUGAGGAAGGUGGCUUGAGAUUCGUCUUAAGUGUUUAUAGCCUCUUGCCUAUGCAGUCGGAGAGAUUGAGGUCUGCAGCGUAGAUCCUUCGGGGCUAAAUGCAUUUGUGCUAAGUUAUAGCAUUUCAUAGACAACUUGUUGACUAUGAUUUGUCUUGUAGCUUACUCGCUUAUGUUAUUUUACCUACGCUUAGGAUGUUGACAGCAGUAUAGACUGU
rnacentral:rRNA from 1 species